rnacentral:lncRNA from 1 species
CCUGGUGACACACCUGAUUGUCCAACCUAGAUGUGCCCUGGCUUCUCAACAAUUGGCUGUGGCAAAUAAGACAAACUUUACAUGAACACCAAUAGAAUUCUAGUUGUUAUAAGUAUCACUAUCUGCAAGUAGGGAUGUGGUCAACAAGAAAAGCACCGCCACUGGAUCAAAAAGGUCUGGUUCACAAAAUCCUAUACAUCACCUGGAUGAUAGAAAAUAGCUUGCACGUGAUAAGCGGUUCACGACACAAGAUAGCACCAAUUCAUGUCUAGCACCAAGCACACAGAGAAAGAUGGACAAAUUUAGAACACGGGCAGGCAAAACACAACAAUGAAAUGGGAAGAACCCUUGUGAACUGACCCAUCGCCCAAUCCAUACUACAACAGUGAAGGAGAGCACCAUAAGGAAACAGAAUGGAAAGAAUAAACCUUGGAGGAAUGACUUCAGGAUUUUGUGGGCAAGUUCAUGCAAGUUUUAAAAUCCUAUAUGGUCAUUCUGAUGUGGUGGUCCAUGAAAAUGUGUGUCACAACAAUUGUGUUAAUCUUGGAAGUAACACAAAUCUUUUGUAUACAUUGAUAGGACCGCUUUCACUCAGUGGUUUAUGUCAGCAUGGCAUUGAUCAAACUUUGCUGAGUUGA